GGGCAAGGUCAGACUUGGCUGCUCCCUCCCCCGCCCUGGGCUCCUGACUGUCUGAGCCUUGACCUGGAAGAGGGUGGCAGGAAGUUCACAGCUUGCCCUCCGGGUGAGCCAAGGAGGCCCAGGGAGGGGGCAGAACCAGCAGCGUCCUCACAAUUGUGUGACACUGAGCAAAGCCCCGCCCCUCCGGGCCUCAGUUUCUCAGGCCAGGUGGGUCAGCGCGGCGCUCCAGUCCAGCUCCGACCCAGGAGAAAUCCAGCGCGGGUUUUGCGGGUGCCCGGCGGCCACCAACACCUUCCUCCCUGGGCGUCCCGGCCGCGGCCCCGGGUCCGAGGGGUCCCGGGGAGACCUGUAGUGGGUCAAGCGGCCUUUGGGUUCCCCGGGAUGGGCUGAGGCUUAUCCCGGCCUUAGUGCCUAGCGCCUGGGGGUGCUGGGAAACCCCGCCCUGCUGCGUGCGCACCCCCAAUCAGCGCUCCCCAUCUAGCCGCCCAGCUGUGUGACUCCGGCUGUCCCUGCCCCUCUCUGGGCCUCGCUGGAGCCUAGCGGCUGGACUGAGGCUCUCAGGGGGGUCAACUGGGUCCAGCCCCCUUCCUGGAGCGUCCCAGCCUUGGUUUCCCCUACUCAGGUCUGGACCCUCUUUUAAGCCCAGGUUGGGGGUCGUAGGUGCUGGGUCGCGGCCCCAGCCCCGGCUAGGGCCUGGGAAUCCCCCGGGGGCUCGGAAAGGGCAGCUCCGAUUGGCUGAGGCUGCCUGUGACGUCAGGGCCUCCUCGACGCCCCCUCCCCUCAAGGUGUGGAAACUGAGACCCAGAGAGAAACGACUUGGCCACUCACAUAGCCGGGAAAUAAAGCUGGAAUUUGAACCCCAAGCUUUAAAAAAUUUUUUAAUUAAAUUAAUUUCUUUCUUUAUGGCCAUGCUGGGUUUUUCUUAGAGCACAGGAGCUUUUCUCUAGUUGCCGCCAGUGGGGG
ensembl:lncRNA